UGUGGGGUUUUUUGGACACAACUAUUUGGUUAAUUACCCAAAGCCUCAUCCAUCCUCAAGAUUUUCAAACUUUAUUUUUUUUUUUGUAAAUGAAUGGGCAUUGUGUUUAUGGAUUUUAAAAAUACGAUUGUUUUAUUUAAAUGCCAUGCUGAGCAGUUGUUCUCUGUUCAUGGUAACCAAAACCUGAAGCGAUUUCGAUCAGUUUUGAUCACUGUUUAGUUAUCCAAAACAUGUACUGUGUACAAAUGAAAUAAUAUGGCAUAUUAGCCAGGUUUCAUGGUUGCCCAAGGCAUUUAAUGGAAGCUCAGUUUUGUAUUUUAUUAAGGCUCCAGCAUAUGCUUGAUCUGAAAUGUGUACAUUUUUGGUGUAUACUUGGUACUAGAGAUUCCUGUAUGCAAAUAUCCUCAUAUAUAAGAAGGCUCAACAUUGUUCGUGCUUUGAAANGCUUUGAAAAAAAAAAAAAAAAAAAAGAUGAAUUGUCCAGCCAGCGCCCAAAGGAAACGUUGUUUUUUGGGAAGAUGACUCAGCCACUUUGCCUUGAGACACCCUUCAGUAACCCCCGCUGGACCAGUCUUGGGAGGCAUCCUGGAAUGCUCGUGGGCUGAGACAAGGAGAUGUUUUUCUGCAAAAUGAAACUGAAGCGGGAAGAAGGGAGAGUGUCAGCAAACCAAGAGAAAUCUGAAGAUUUCAGGAAGGAGGACUCAGAUGGGUGUGAAAGGAAGAGAUGAAAGUAGGGGAGGUGAGGUGGAAAUUGUAGGGUGUGAGAGAGGUUUGGGUGAGGAAGUACAUUUUUAGAUAUGUGCUGUUUCCAACCAGGGGUCGCAAACUCAGCAGCCUGCAGAAGGAGGUUGGGAGGUAAAUGGGGGGGGUGAUGGGGAGGGAGCCGUGUUCAGGGGGUCCCCCUGGUUUGGCUCCAUGCAGGGAAAAGGGUAGGGUGGGAAAUUUUUUUUUAAAUCAGGAUUUUUUUUUUUUUUUUUAAAGGACACGCUCUCAUUUUUCAACCACAUAAUUUAAAAAUAUCCAAAACCCAUGUGGGCCAAAAAUAUAUAUAUAUAUAUGGUUAAACCUGGGGGCCACCAGUUUGCGACCCCUGCCUUCCACAGUUAAGCCCUCCAGUAUGUAUCAGGUUAUGUUUAUUCUUAUGGAUAUGAGGUUCUUAGUAUGGGGGGGUGAUAUGUCGAGUCUUUAUUUUCAGAGUUAAAGCUUUAUUGUAGAAACAAACCCCCUCAAAUUAACAUGGCCACAGAUAACCCUGGACUCACAAUUCCCAGAAGCAGUCUCCAUCCUGGAGCUUUAGGAGUCAGAUCUUACAUCAAACCCCUGGGGACCAGUUCUUGGCAUUUCCUUCCUGGUGCAGUUGGGGCUAAAGUCCUAGACUCUGUCCCGGGUUUGCAGAUGAGUAAUCAGGAAGGAUUGCAGAAUAACUGGUUUCUUCUUUAUUUGCAUUUUAUUCUUAUUUUUCGAUUGAUUAUUAUUUUUUAAGCAGUUCCUUAGCAAUGAUAGCAGGUGGCCGUGAACACCAGAAAAGCAGUGCUGGUUCUCCGGGCCAAGUUUCUUAUGCUGGUUCCUAGCCCCACUGCCAAAAGCACUGUUUUCGUCUUUGGUUGGUAUGUUUGUGCUUUUUUUGUUUUUGUCCUUUAGGGCCACACCUGCACCAUUUGGAAGUUCCCAGGCUAGGGGUCGAAUCCGAGCCACAGCCACAGCAGUGCGGGAUCCAAGCUGUGUCUGUGACCUACACCACAGCUCAUGGCAACGCUGGAUCCUCAACCCACUGAGUGAGGCCAGGGAUCCAACCAGCAUCCUCAUGGGUACUCAUCAGGUUCAUUACCACUAAGCCACAACGGGAACUCCAAGAGCAUUGUUCUAAUCAAAUAUUUCCAUCCCUUUCUGACUCCGUGGCUCCCACCAAAAUGAACAUCCUCACAUUCUGAAGGAAUUAAAUAAACAGCCUCCAAAAUGUCUCCUUUAACUUCAUGGAGUUAAGUCACUUUUUCUGUAAAAUGUGGCUUUUGACCUUGACAAUGACUUACCCUGUCCACACAGAGGAAGAGUAUUAUCCCUCCGCCAAGUGAUGGGAAAAAUGGGGGAAAAAGUUCAGUGUUAUCAUUUGUGGCGUUUGUUAAUUUUUAAAAAAUUGCAUGUCUUCCUUAGACACUACGGUUUAUUUUAUUUUAUUUUAUUUUUUACACCUACAUAGCACAUGAUUUGGUGGCGAUAAAGCACGUAUACGUUGGGAGUGGACAGAGAUAUGUGCGAUCCUUUAUACAGAGAGAAUAGACUAAAACGUGCAGCUAAGUUAGAUAUAACCCAGUUUUGGAAGUAUCAGACAUUCAGGAAUAUUUUUUAGCACCUUUUGCUUUAAAAAAAAAAAAAAGUGCCUUGAUUCAGUCACUUGACUUUAAAACAUUCCUCUUAGUUUAUUGUUAUUUUUAGGAUGUAUUCUGACCCCAACCUGUGUCAUAGGAUGCAGCCGGUCGGCUGCGAUCAUAGCAUAUGUUCUGUUCCAAUAAUGGACACCAAAGAAGUAAUCAGAUGGGGUUUAGCUGCUACCGUCGUCGUGUGAUUGAAAGGCGUCUUAAUCACACCAGGUGUCCAUGGCCCAGACAGUCGAGGCCUGCCAUUCGUUUUCUAUUUCAGGUCGGAGUAAAUUUGCACUUUUUAAUCAUAUGGGUCAUUGGGGGACCUUGUUCUUUCAUCCUUUGCUUUAUUAAUAAAGGAACUU
rnacentral:lncRNA from 1 species